CGCUGUGCCGUGGAUUGUCCCUUAAAUGCGAGGCUGAGUAGGAGCAGAUUCCAUAUUGGCAUAUCUGUCAAUACAACCUUUGGGAUUGGGCCUUUGGACACCUUUUCUAUCAACUGGCUUCUCGCGAUUUCUUAGCCACCUCAUUCUCUUCCCGUGACCUCUUACUGAUUUGGGGAUGGAGCCUUGGGGAAAUGUUUUACAGAUGGAGGAUAUGAAGGUGCUGAAAAACACACAUUGCUGUUUCUCAAUGCUGCCAGAAGCUUGAAAAUGCCCAACAACCCGGAAAAGGCGACGUGGAGUCCAGAAGCCAAAUUGACAAGCUAAAGAAGCAGAGUGGGUUUUUGGCUGCCAAGCUUAUCAAGCCUAGGGACUCCAAUACAGCAGAGCACGAGAUGGUGGUUACUUUGGAAGAGAACAGUAAUGAAAAUCCUGGAGGAGACACCCUGGUCAGCCCUGGGGAGCAAACAGACCCUUACAGCUAUGCACUUCCCUGACCCAUGCUUUAAAGAGCAAGGUGGAG
rnacentral:lncRNA from 1 species